UCCAGUGGGUCCUGUGGCCGAGGUAGUGAGAGGGGAGGAAGAUGGUAGAGGUGGGUGCAGGCAGGGGGCCGCGCGGAUGCCCUGUGGGCCCGGCCGUGUCACCCAGGCCUGCAGAGAGAGGCCUCCAGACCAGCCUCCUCAGACCCCAAUCCCGGAGCCAUCUGUGAAGGGGAGCCCAUGUGCUGUCCACGCUAGGACGCGGUAGACCCUGGAGGAGGGAAGGCUGGCCAAGGCGGGAGCCCGUCACAAAAGAGCCUGGGGAGAUGCAGGUGCUGAGCCUGGCUGCCCCCGCCCCAGUGUGGCCCCUGUGUCCCUGCAGCACGUGGCCGAGGAGCUCCAGCACCUGCUGCAGUGGCUGAUGGGUGCUCCCGCCGGGCUCAAGAUGAACCGUGCACUGGACCAGGUGCUGGGCCGCUUCUUCCUCUACCACAUCCACCUGUGGAUCAGCUACAUCCACCUCAUGU
rnacentral:sRNA from 1 species